rnacentral:rRNA from 1 species
UGCAGUCGACGAUGAACUCCAGCUUGCUGGGGGGAUUAGUGGCGAACGGGUGAGUAACACGUGAGUGACCUGCCCUUGACUCUGGGAUAAGCGUUGGAAACGACGUCUAAUACCGGAUAUGAACUGUGACGGCAUCGUCUGCAGUUGGAAAGAAUUUUGGUCAAGGAUGGACUCGCGGCCUAUCAGGUAGUUGGUGAGGUAACGGCUCACCAAGCCGACGACGGGUAGCCGGCCUGAGAGGGUGACCGGCCACACUGGGACUGAGACACGGCCCAGACUCCUACGGGAGGCAGCAGUGGGGAAUAUUGCACAAUGGGCGAAAGCCUGAUGCAGCAACGCCGCGUGAGGGACGACGGCCUUCGGGUUGUAAACCUCUUUUAGUAGGGAAGAAGCGAAAGUGACGGUACCUGCAGAAAAAGCACCGGCUAACUACGUGCC